UACGAAGGGGGCUAGCGUUGCUCGGAUUGACUGGGCGUAAAGGGCGCGUAGGCGGUUUGCAUAGUCAGACGUGAAAUUCCUGGGCUUAACCUGGGGGCUGCGUUUGAUACGUGCGGACUUGAGUUCGGAAGAGGGUCGUGGAAUUCCCAGUGUAGAGGUGAAAUUCGUAGAUAUUGGGAAGAACACCGGUGGCGAAGGCGGCGACCUGGUCCGAUACUGACGCUGAGGCGCGAAAGCGUGGGGAGCAAACAGG
rnacentral:rRNA from 1 species